rnacentral:tRNA from 1 species
AGCAGUGUGGCCUAGGGGAAAGGUCUGGGAGUUAGAAGACCUGGGUUCUAUUCCCAGCUCUGCCA